CCUACGGGAGGCAGCAGUGAGGAAUAUUUGUCAAUGGACGAGAGUCUGAACCAGCCAAGUAGCGUGAAGGAUGACUGCUCUAUGGGUUGUAAACUUCUUUUAUAUGAGAAUAAAAUGUUCCACGUGUGGUCUUUUUUAUGUACCAUAUGAAUAAGGAUCGGCUAACUCCGUGCCCGCAGCCGCGGUAAUACUGAGGAUCCGAGCGUUAUCCGGAUUUCUUGGGUUUAAAGGGAGCGUAGGUGGAUUGUUAAGUUAGUUGUGAAAGUUUGCGGCUCAACCGUAAAAUUGCAGUUGAAACUGGCAGUAUUGAGAACAGUAGAGGUGGGCGGAAUGCGUGGUGUAGCGGUGAAAUGCUGAGAGAUCACGAAGAACUCCGAUUGCGAAGGCAGUUCACUGGACUGCAACUGACACUGAGGCUCGAAAGUGUGGGUAUCAAACAGGAUUAGAUACCCAAGUAGUC
rnacentral:rRNA from 1 species